UGGUAUCAGGAGGAGACCUUGGAGGCACUUCUGCCAGAGACAGGGGCUGCUGGAUUCUCCAGGAGGUGAUGGGAAAAGAAAGCCAGGCUCUUCUGUGGGUGUCAUCUGCCAGGCCCUGGCCCUAACAGGUGUUCUGCUGUCCUCCAAAACUGAAUCCUCAUUGACAGAAAUUCUAGAAGAUAGGCUGAAGCCAUCCUUGUCCUAGGGCUUGUUGGGGCUC
rnacentral:lncRNA from 1 species